GAGAGGUCAAACUCUACUACUUGUUACCUUGUUACGACUUAACCCUUGUUACCAGAAUUACCCUAGGUCUCUUCGGAGGGUGUAUAAAGUGGCGCACGGGUGAGUAACACGUAAGUAAUCUACCCUCGGGUGGGGAAUAACAACCGGAAACGGUUGCUAAUACCGCAUAAUGCAGCGGCUCCUUAUGGAGACAGUUGUUAAAGGAUUUAUUCGCCUGAGGAGGAGCUUGCGGCAAAUUAGCUAGUUGGUAAGGUAAUGGCUUACCAAGGCAACGAACUGUAGCCGGUCUAAGAGGACGGUCGGUCACACUGACACUGAAUAACGGGUCAGACUCCUACGGGAGGCAGCAGUCGGGAAUUUUGGGCAAUGGGCGAAAGCCUGACCCAGCAACGCCGCGUGAAGGAUGAAGUAUUUCGGUAUGUAAACUUCGAAAGAAUAGGAAGAAUUAAUGACGGUACUAUUUAUAAGGUCCGGCUAACUACGUGCCAGCAGCCGCGGUAAUACGUAGGGACCAAGCGUUGUUCGGAUUUACUGGGCGUAAAGGGCGCGUAGGCGGCAUGUCAAGUCACUUGUGAAAUCUCUGGGCUUAACUCAGAACGGCCAAGUGAUACUGUCGCGCUAGAGUGCAGAAGGGCAUUCGGAAUUCUUGGUUAGCGGUGGAAUGCUUAGAUUCAGAGAACCCUGAGGCGAAGGCGGUUGCUGGCUACCUGACCUGAGCGCGAAACCAUGGGAGCA
rnacentral:rRNA from 1 species